UGGCAUAUACAAACCAUAUACCCUGAAUGCACCUGAUGUCGUCUGAUCUCAGAAGCUAAGCAGAGUGGGGCCUGAUGAGUGCUUAGACAGGAGAACUCAUGGCAAUCGGCCUGCCUC
rnacentral:rRNA from 1 species